UCACACUUGUCUCUUACACUUGUGCUUGUGA
rnacentral:piRNA from 1 species